CACGAAGGGGGCGAGCGUUGUUCGGAAUUACUGGGCGUAAAGGGCGCGUAGGCGGCGACUCAAGUUAGAUGUGAAAGUCCUGGGCUUAACCUGGGGACUGCAUUUGAUACUGGGUUGCUUGAAUUCGGGAGAGGAUAGCGGAAUUCCCAGUGUAGAGGUGAAAUUCGUAGAUAUUGGGAAGAACACCGGUGGCGAAGGCGGCUAUCUGGACCGACAUUGACGCUGAGGCGCGAAAGCGUGGGGAGCAAACAGG
rnacentral:rRNA from 1 species